rnacentral:tRNA from 1 species
GCGGUCGUAGCUCAGCAGGUUAGAGCAUCGGAUUGUGGUCCCGAGGGUCGUGGGUUCGAUUCCCAUCGACCGCCCCA